UGGGGAAUUUUGGACAAUGGGGGAAACCCUGAUCUAGCCAUCCCGCGUGUGCGAUGAAGGCCUUCGGGUUGUAAAGCACUUUUGGCAGGAAAGAAACGUCAUGGGUUAAUACCCCGUGAAACUGACGGUACCUGCAGAAUAAGCACCGGCUAACUACGUGCCAGCAGCCGCGGUAAUACGUAGGGUGCAAGCGUUAAUCGGAAUUACUGGGCGUAAAGCGUGCGCAGGCGGUUCGGAAAGAAAGAUGUGAAAUCCCAGAGCUCAACUUUGGAACUGCAUUUUUAACUACCGGGCUAGAGUGUGUCAGAGGGAGGUGGAAUUCCGCGUGUAGCAGUGAAAUGCGUAGAUAUGCGGAGGAACACCGAUGGCGAAGGCAGCCUCCUGGGAUAACACUGACGCUCAUGCACGAAAGCGUGGAGAGCAAACAGG
rnacentral:rRNA from 1 species